AUGGAUCCAUCACAAUAUCAUUUUGAUAUCGCAACCUACAAUCAAAAUCGUGAAAUUGAAGAAAAUUAUAUAGUCAAUCGAUUUAGAGAGCGUAGAAACAAAAUAUUGGAAGAUAAUGCACCUCGUAGUAGAAAAUAUCUCAAUAGAGAUCAUGCAGCGGCAAACCAAAGACUAAUUGACGACUACUUUGCCAAUGAGCCUACAUAUGACGAUGCAAUGUUUCGUCGUCGCCAAUAA